rnacentral:tRNA from 1 species
AUUUAAAUAGCUUAACUAGAGCGUAAUAUUGAAGAUAUUAAGGUGAUUUUGAUCUUUAGAUA